rnacentral:rRNA from 1 species
CGUUCCCGGGCCUUGUACACACCGCCCGUCACGUCAUGAAAGUCGGUAACACCCGAAGCCGGUGGCCCAACCCGUAAGGGAGGGAGCUGUCGAAGGUGGGACUGGCGAUUAGGACG